AGGAUCAGUGGCGGACGCACGUAGGGACGAGUGGGGGCAGCUGCCCCCAGUGAACUUUUAUUUUUGUUGAACUGGUCUCCGUUUUGCCCCCACAAUCAAUAUCCAAGAUUCCAAAUACUUGUUCUCCUCCUUCCUCCGAUCUAAUUCCCUCUGCAUGCUGGCUUUUCUGGCAUCCCUUGUUUAAGUGACCCCCUGAUUUGGAUUUUGUAUCCACUGAUCUACACCUCCAUCUACUUCUCAUACCUUGAUUCCGGAUCGAUCAGGCUCUGAAGUACAAAGGUUGCUGGGGUGGGAAAGAGAAGAAGAGGGAUUCAAGAUUGUGGUGGACUUCGGGGGGAGGAUUUGGGUUUGUUUCCGGAGAGGUGGAUUCGAAAAUUUUGAUCUAGUUUGGGGGAUAGUUUUCAGCAGGAAAAGAGGUGUGUUUGGUUUGGGUUUGUAUGGGUUGUUUGAAAUUGUGGUUUUGAUUAUGAAAUCUAUAUGUAUUUGUUGUUUGCUUUACAAUCUCACUGUUUGUUUCUGCAAAAUCAAUUCAUAUUAGAGAUCGAUGUUUGGGCUUUGGAGCUUGGAGACUGCCAAUAUAAUUAAAGUAGUGUCUAGCUUUUGCUAGAGAUCAAGAUGUACAUUGCUUUUGGGGUGCUAACAUCUGCUUGAUUUUCUGGAGCUUUUUUACUUGCAGAUUAGCUGCUGCUUUGACAACUAUGAUGUUCCUCAGGGACAGUUGUGUGAAUUUCAAGUCCAUCUGUAUAGCAGCAGAGUAUUCAUGGGGGCUGUUUUUUUAUAUCUAUUUGAUGAUGCUAGUGAUACAUCAGAUGAUAGAUAGAUGGUCUAUCAUGAUAAGGUAGUACAUGCCCCUGGUUCGUCAUGUCAAAAGCAUGGGAAUGGUCCUCUGGUUGGGGUGAAAAGAUUUAUUUCUCUUGUUGGCGGGUGAUAUCUACAAUAUAGCAGUAUAUGUUUAGGUGCUUUAUUCACAAUUCAUGUAGUAAAUGAAAAUCUAUCAAUCUAUUUGAUAUAAAAUAUAGCGAUUGAAGUUUUGUUUCAUUAA